rnacentral:rRNA from 1 species
GGUUCCUGUCCAACGUUAAUCGGGGCAGGGUGAGUCGACCCCUAAGGCGAGGCCGAAAGGCGUAGUCGAUGGGAAACAGGUUAAUAUUCCUGUACUUGGUGUUACUGCGAAGGGGGGACGGAGAAGGCUAUGUUGGCCGGGCGACGGUUGUCCCGGUUUAAGCGUGUAGGCUGGUUUUCCAGGCAAAUCCGGAAAAUCAAGGCUGAGGCGUGAUGACGAGGCACUACGGUGCUGAAGCGACAAAUGCCCUGCUUCCAGGAAAAGCCUCUAAGCAUCAGGUAACAUCAAAUCGUACCCCAAACCGACACAGGUGGUCAGGUAGAGAAUACCAAGGCGCUUGAGAGAACUCGGGUGAAGGAACUAGGCAAAAUGGUGCCGUAACUUCGGGAGAAGGCACGCUGAUAUGUAGGUGAAGCGACUUGCUCGUGGAGCUGAAAUCAGUCGAAGAUACCAGCUGGCUGCAACUGUUUAUUAAAAACACAGCACUGUGCAAACACGAAAGUGGACGUAUACGGUGUGACGCCUGCCCGGUGCCGGAAGGUUAAUUGAUGGGGUUAGCGGUAACGCGAAGCUCUUGAUCGAAGCCCCGGUAAACGGCGGCCGUAACUAUAACGGUCCUAAGGUAGCGAAAUUCCUUGUCGGGUAAGUUCCGACCUGCACGAAUGGCGUAAUGAUGGCCAGGCUGUCUCCACCCGAGACUCAGUGAAAUUGAACUCGCUGUGAAGAUGCAGUGUACCCGCGGCAAGACGGAAAGACCCCGUGAACCUUUACUAUAGCUUGACACUGAACAUUGAGCCUUGAUGUGUAGGAUAGGUGGGAGGCUUUGAAGUGUGGACGCCAGUCUGCAUGGAGCCGACCUUGAAAUACCACCCUUUAAUGUUUGAUGUUCUAACGUGGGCCCCUUACCGGGGUUGCGGACAGUGUCUGGUGGGUAGUUUGACUGGGGCGGUCUCCUCCUAAAGAGUAACGGAGGAGCACGAAGGUUGGCUAAUCCUGGUCGGACAUCAGGAGGUUAGUGCAAUGGCAUAAGCCAGCUUGACUGCGAGCGUGACGGCGCGAGCAGGUGCGAAAGCAGGUCAUAGUGAUCCGGUGGUUCUGAAUGGAAGGGCCAUCGCUCAACGGAUAAAAGGUACUCCGGGGAUAACAGGCUGAUACCGCCCAAGAGUUCAUAUCGACGGCGGUGUUUGGCACCUCGAUGUCGGCUCAUCACAUCCUGGGGCUGAAGUAGGUCCCAAGGGUAUGGCUGUUCGCCAUUUAAAGUGGUACGCGAGCUGGGUUUAGAACGUCGUGAGACAGUUCGGUCCCUAUCUGCCGUGGGCGCUGGAGAACUGAGGGGGGCUGCUCCUAGUACGAGAGGACCGGAGUGGACGCAUCACUGGUGUUCGGGUUGUCAUGCCAAUGGCACUGCCCGGUAGCUAAAUGCGGAAGAGAUAAGUGCUGAAAGCAUCUAAGCACGAAACUUGCCCCGAGAUGAGUUCUCCCUGACUCCUUGAGAGUCCUGAAGGAACGUUGAAGACGACGACGUUGAUAGGCCGGGUGUGUAAGCGCAGCGAUGCGUUGAGCUAACCGGUACUAAUGAACCGUGAGGCUUAACCUU